rnacentral:rRNA from 1 species
GACGAACGCUGGCGGCGUGCUUAACACAUGCAAGUCGAGCGGUAAGGCCCUUUCGGGGGUACACGAGCGGCGAACGGGUGAGUAACACGUGGGUGACCUGCCUUUAGCUCUGGGAUAAGCCUGGGAAACUGGGUCUAAUACCGGAUAUGACUCCAUGAUGCAUGUUGUGGGGUGGAAAGCCUUGUGCGGCUGGAGAUGGGCCCGCGGCCUAUCAGCUUGUUGGUGGGGUGAUGGCCUACCAAGGCGACGACGGGUAGCCGGCCUGAGAGGGCGACCGGCCACACUGGGACUGAGACACGGCCCAGACUCCUACGGGAGGCAGCAGUGGGGAAUCUUGCGCAAUGGGCGAAAGCCUGACGCAGCGAC